rnacentral:rRNA from 1 species
CCUACGGGAGGCAGCAGUGGGGGAUCUUGCACAAUGGGGGAAACCCUGAUGCAGCGACGCCGCGUGAGUGAAGAAGUAUUUCGGUAUGUAAAGCUCUAUCAGCAGGGAAGAAAAUGACAGUACCUGACCAAGAAGCCCCGGCUAACUACGUGCCUGCAGCCGCGGUAAUACGUAGGGGGCAAGCGGUAUCCGGAUUUACUGGGGGUAAGGGGAGCGUAGACGGUUAUGUAAGUCUGGAGUGAAUACCCGGGGCCCAACCCCGGUACUGAUUUGGAAACUGUGUAACUGGAGUGCAGGAGGGGCAGGCGGAAUUCCUGGUGUAGCGGUGAAAUGCGUAGAUAUCAGGAGGAACACCGGCGGAGAAGGCGGCCUGCUGGACUGAAACUGACGUUGAGGCUCGAAAGCGUGGGGAGCAAACAGGAUUAGAUACCCUUGUAGUC